rnacentral:lncRNA from 1 species
AGCAGAGGAAAACCAAUUCUGCUUAACCAGUGAGCAUAGAAAUGGACGUGCUCUGAGUAAGAUUCCAGCUUGUGCUGCCUACCUUCUCCUGGAGUGGGCCUGCCCUGGAGUGCGGUGGACAUAGCAAAGGGCACAUCAUUAAAGAAAACUGACUCCUUUUUAUUGUUUUAAGACAAGGCAUCCAUAGCAAUUAGUUAUGGGAGGCAAGGAAAACAAGCAUAUCACUGGAAUAAAAUUGUUACUGAUUUUGAGAGAAGCAAAUCCCUUC